rnacentral:rRNA from 1 species
UACAGAGGAUGCAAGCGUUAUCCGGAAUGAUUGGGCGUAAAGCGUCUGUAGGUGGCUUUUUAAGUCCGCCGUCAAAUCCCAGGGCUCAACUCUGGACAGGCGGUGGAAACUACCAAGCUCGAGUACGGUAGGGGCAGAGGGAAUUCCCGGUGUAGCGGUGAAAUGCGCAGAUAUCGGGAGGAACACCAGUGGCGAAGGCGGCGCUCUGGGCCGGAACUGACGCUGAGGAGCGAAAGCGUGGGUAGCAAACAGG